AACCUUAUUGCAUUUAUGCUCAUAUUUACACGGCGUUAGAAAAAAUAUUUGGUACUUUGUGCCAAAAUGACAAAUAUAAGGAGUAUUUGAAUUUGCUGACCGCUGGAAGAGAUACUCGUUCUAUUGACAUCAAAGGGAAGAUACUUUUCAAACUAAAGGUUCUCGAGAAAUUUAGUUUGGCUUUAAUCGCUCCUUGUUCUCAAGAUUUCGCUCCAGCAGAUUGUUCAUGUUAUCGAGCUGAAUUAGUUACGCAUGUAGAAACUACAUUCGCACUUACAUCAGCUGAAACAAGAAUACCAAGUAUGGAUAACAAAAGAGCCCAACUGGUAGCAGACAUAAUGGAAAACGACGAAAUGAGAGAAAUACUCA